CAACAUUAAACCUCUCACCAUGUGAGCGUCGCUCAUGUUCCUGGUUGUGGUCACUUCCACGGUGCUUCCUAUACGAUCACAGUGCCGACACUGACUUCUGUCUGCCGCUCGAGACUGACGAUCCUGUUUCAAGCGCCGUAUCGUCGGCUAGGACCACGCUAAUGGCCACGACGAUGGGCGACAACCUCGCCACCAGCAGCCGCUGGCCCCGCCGCCGACACACGCCGCCUGUGCGUGCGCCG